CAGUAGCCGCGGGAAUACGUAGGGUGCGAGCGUUAAUCGGUAUUACUGGGCGUAAAGCGUGCGCAGGCGGUUAUAUAAGACAGAUGUGAAAUCCCCGGGCUCAACCUGGGACCUGCAUUUGUGACUGUAUAGCUAGAGUACGGUAGAGGGGGAUGGAAUUCCGCGUGUAGCAGUGAAAUGCGUAGAUAUGUGGAGGAAUACCGAUGGCGAAGGCAGCCCCCUGGGAUAACACUGACGCUCAUGCACGAAAGCGUGGGGAGCAAACAGGAUUAGAUACCCCCGUAGUCCCUGUCUCUUAUAC
rnacentral:rRNA from 1 species